rnacentral:tRNA from 1 species
GAGAAAGGGGUAUAGUGUAUUAUACGCCUAACUUGAAAUUAGGAGAAGGGGGUUCAAGUCCUUCCUUUCUUG